rnacentral:rRNA from 1 species
CCCUUAGAUGUUCUGGGCCGCACGCGUGCUACACUGAGUGGAUCAGCGGGUCAGGUUGCGCGAAAGCGUUUCCUAAUCUUUAAAUCCGCUCGUGAUGGGGAUUGACGGUUGCAAUUUUCUGUCAUGAACGAGGAAUACCUUGUAAGCGCGGGUCAUCAUCCCGCGCUGAAUACGUCCCUGCCCUUUGUACACACCGCCCGUCGCUCCUACCGGUUGAGUGGUCCGGUGAGGCUUUGGGAUCUGAGCGGAAAGAGCGUUUCGCUGUUUCUGCUCGGAAAACUCAGUCGAACCUUAUCAUUUAGAGGAAGGAGAAGUCGUAACA